CGGCUAACUACGUGCCAGCAGCCGCGGUAAUACGUAGGGCGCAAGCGUUAUCCGGAAUUAUUGGGCGUAAAGAGCUCGUAGGCGGUUUGUCGCGUCUGCCGUGAAAGUCCGGGGCUCAACUCCGGAUCUGCGGUGGGUACGGGCAGACUAGAGUGAUGUAGGGGAGACUGGAAUUCCUGGUGUAGCGGUGAAAUGCGCAGAUAUCAGGAGGAACACCGAUGGCGAAGGCAGGUCUCUGGGCAUUAACUGACGCUGAGGAGCGAAAGCAUGGGGAGCGAACAGGAUUAGAUACCCUGGUAGUCCAUGCCGUAAACGUUGGGCACUAGGUGUGGGGGACAUUCCACGUUUUCCGCGCCGUAGCUAACGCAUUAAGUGCCCCGCCUGGGGAGUACGGCCGCAAGGCUAAAACUCAAAGGAAUUGACGGGGGCCCGCACAAGCGGCGGAGCAUGCGGAUUAAUUCGAUGCAACGCGAAGAACCUUACCAAGGCUUGACAUGGGCCGGACCGGGCUGGAAACAGUCCUUCCCCUUUGGGGCCGGUUCACAGGUGGUGCAUGGUUGUCGUCAGCUCGUGUCGUGAGAUGUUGGGUUAAGUCCCGCAACGAGCGCAACCCUCGUUCCAUGUUGCCAGCGCGUAAUGGCGGGGACUCAUGGGAGACUGCCGGGGUCAACUCGGAGGAAGGUGGGGACGACGUCAAAUCAUCAUGCCCCUUAUGUCUUGGGCUUCACGCAUGCUACAAUGGCCGGUACAAAGGGUUGCGAUACUGUGAGGUGGAGCUAAUCCCAAAAAGCCGGUCUCAGUUCGGAUUGGGGUCUGCAACUCGACCCCAUGAAGUCGGAGUCGCUAGUAAUCGCAGAUCAGCAACGCUGCGGUGAAUACGUUCCCGGGCCUUGUACACACCGCCCGUCAAGUCACGAAAGUUGGUAACACCCGAAGCCGGUGGCCU
rnacentral:rRNA from 1 species